CCUACGGGUGGCAGCAGUGGGGAAUAUUGCACAAUGGGCGAAACCCUGAUGCAGCAACGCCGCGUGAGGGAAGAAGUCUUUCGGUAUGUAAAGCUCUAUUAGCAGGGAAGAAAAUGACAGUACCAGACUAAGAAGCCCCGGCUAACUACGGGCCAGCAGCCGCGGUAAUCCGUAGGGGGCAAGCGUUAUCCGGAUUUACUGGGGGUAAAGGGAGCGUAGACGGCUGCGAAAGACAGAAGUGAAAACACGGGGCUCAACCGCGGGACUGCUUUUGAAACUGUAUGGCGUGAGUGCAGGAGAGGAAAGUGGAAUUCCUGGUGUAGCGGUGAAAUGCGUAGAUAUUAGGAGGAACCCCGGUGGCGAAGGCGGCUUUCUGGACUGUAACUGACGUUGAGGCUCGAAAGCGUGGGGAGCAAACAGGAUUAGAUACCCCAGUAGUC
rnacentral:rRNA from 1 species